UGUGGCUCUGAGCUGUGAAGCCCUCUGUUAGGGUACAGCUCCCCACAGCCCGGCAGACGGAGGGCCUUCAUUCCUUCACAGGCAGUGAAACAUCGGUGGCCUGGAAGCUCUGCUCACUAGCCCAGCAGGUCAGCUCGCUCCGGACCAUCCACGGUGGCUUCCUCCAGCUUACUGUCCGGUCAACCGGCCGCAUUACUCAACUUGUCACCAAGUCGCGGCCCAGAAAUCGACCAAUAAAACCGGCUACUUUGGUUACUCCUAAA